GUAUGAAGUCAGCGAGCUCAUAAGCGUGACUUCUUCUCGUUGUGCUCUUGCGCUUCUCUGACCUCUGUAGACUGAGUACGGUCCUGAAGUCCGGCGAAAUGGUUCCUCCAGUGCAAGUGUCGCCGCUGAUUAAGACAGCCAGAUGGUCUGCAUUGCUUGUUGGCAUUAUCUAUGGAAAGCGCAGAUAUGAUAAUCUGAAACCAAUCGCAGAGGAGGAGAGGAGAAUAGAAGAGGAGGAGAAGAAGGUGCGAGAGGAGAAGGAACGCAUUGCUAAACAAUUAGCAGAAGCUAAUGAGGACACAAUCCUGAAGUGAUCAGCCCAAAAUGUCGGCUAUAUCGUGUUCAUUGUAAAGAUCUUGUUAUCGCUCUGGAUAAAGAAUGAUACUUGUUUUCUGCCAUUUUGGAUUUACAGUGCCCUUUUCACACCUUUCCAUGUUUUCUCUAAUAAAUAAUGACAGACGAAUACCUCUUUUUGUGAAAUAAUCACUGAAUACAUGCAAAUAUGUGUCUAUGACCUUGUAUAAAUUUCCUCUGAUCUGACACUGUUUUGUUCUUUCAUUGAAGAACCUUUAUACAGGUGUAGUAUAUGCAAUGUAAUGUUAAAUAUACCCUGAAUCAGAGUUUCACUUUGGUAAACAUCCACACCAAUAUUUAUUAAUAAACUGUUAAUCCCUA